AGGGUUCAGUUUUGCCAAUUUUAUUGAACCAAUAAAAUUCCUACUAAUAACAACGAAAUAAAUUUCUGCAAGUAUAAAUGUGAUACAGUUUAACAAAACCCAUUGUUCUGUACCUAUAAAUAGAUUUUCAAAAUGUCAUAAAAAGUGCAGUUAUGAAUUGUUAACAUGUUUAAUACACAGUUCCUUUAUUUCAAAUGUGUUUGUCUUGACCCACUAACAGUUCCUUCUGCAUCUCUUCAAAUAAUAUUACCCAUCCCUCCAAAAAAAAAAAAAAAAAAGCCAUUAAAGCACUAGAAUAUUACACAUAAACUGAUCCAUUCAGGUCAGCUUUAGUCAGAAUUGUAAAAUCGGCAACAUAAGAAAAAAAUAAAACCUACUUAUACAUACAAAAAAGCUUUCAUGGGUUCUAUAAUCUCCUUAACUGCUGACUCCCGUGGAGGGCAUAAUAGUUGAAAAGGCUUAUAUGGUUAACUACCUUAGACUACUACAUCUAGAGCAGGGUCCGGUUUGCCAGCACAAGUUUAAAGUGGCUGUUUAUCAAGUCUGCUAUUUUCAGAAUUGAAACUAUAAAUAUAGGACUGCCAUUUGACGCCGAAAACUGUGUGAAUCCUAAAUUGCAUCAAUGAUCUAUUUGAUAAAAGCUUAUUCUAAUUGAAAACCUUAUAUAGUAAGAGACUGAUAUAUAUAGCAGUCUUAAAGAUCAUGUCAUCUGCCUCACAUUAGUCCAAAGUCACGUGCUUCGUAAAAAAAAAUUACAGUAACAAAACACAGGACUACAAAGGCAAAACAUCACAGCUUCUGAUUACAUUGAAUAAAAAGUACCAAGGAACGCAAAAGAUAAAUCUGUAUUAAUACUGAUGAAUUAAAGAACUAUAAUAGACAUUUCACAGCAUGCUACAUAUAUCGCUCACAACUGAAGGAUAAAAUGAUGUCUAAAAUUGAAAGUAAGAAGUUGGCAAUCUGAUUUCAUGUGCAAUUCAGCUACAAAGUCUUAAUAUAUACAUUCAUUAUGUAGCUGCCCUGCAAAAUCAGGAUUUUUUUUUUUUUUAAAAAGAGAUUUCAAGUUCAAAUCCUAUUUCAUAAGCUAAAGGAUACAUCCAGUUCUUCCAUGACCAGGAAAGUUUUCAGGUUUGAAGGAGCUAAUCCAAGGAGCAAGGCCAUGUUCCGAGUUGACAUGAUGGGGUUCUUUUUUACCUCACUCAGAUUGUGCGUGUGGAUGUGACUAUUCUAUUAGCAUGGAGAAGAUGCCAAAUGGGCUUGGUUUGCUUCCUGUGUCUACCUUGAGUUGAAAAGAGUAGAUAUGAAGAGAAAGAGGAAGGGAAAAAUCAUAUUUUCUUUCAGAGAAGAUCUGUGGAUGCAAAGACAAUGCAUACUAGAUAGAGAGUUUGGAUCACUUUCCUUGAUGAGCAAGGGUACCACUGAACUCCUGCUUUUUAUUUUAGAGAACUAGUGAAAUUCAGAAAGGAGAAAGCAGUCUCUCAACAUCACAAAGGAAACAUCUUCCUACCCAACCAAUAGGUUUCCUUUAUCCCUCCUUUUGAUCCUUACUUAUGAGAUUUGGAAGUCCGUGGAAAAUCUGUAAAGAUGGAUUAAUUUAAGAAAGAGAUGGAUAGCCACUUUCAUUUGCUAAGUGUCAUAAUGCACACACUCAGCUAAUCAGAAUUCAUGAACAACACUUUAGCAUUAAAGACCAGAGUUUCUCUCUCCCUUUGAUAAUCUUUCUGUGGAAAUGAUACAUUCAUUUUUAAGAGGUUCAACUGAGGGGUACAAGAAAAAUAGACUGUUUUAGCAAAAUUUAUAUACCAAAAAUUAUAUUUAUUAUACUUACUAAUGUUUGAUGUGGUCCUAUCAGCUAUAAGUCAAACGGGGUAUUUGUUCUAAAGGCUAUUUUAUAGUAUGCCUUUCAUUAUCUCAAAGAUUUCCACAAGCAUUGGAAAAAAAUCAGAUAUUCCUUCUCCCCACCCCACCCCCUUAUUUUUCCUUUUUCAAUUCUCUGCUUCAUAGUGAUAAGUCAGAAUGAAUUUAAAGCUAGAACGAACACUUUGGGACAUACGAUUUAAUAAAAACCAUCCCUUCAACAUCUUUUAUGAAGUCUCAUUUCUUAAAUGAGACAUCGAUUCAUUCCUGGGCCCCUGAAGCCAUUUGACUAGACUCUGCUGUCAGGUUGGGUUGUUCAUGAACAGAACGUGAAGCGUUCAGAUACCAUCACAGGUUGUCAUAAUCUGUACUUCCACACAGAGUGGUUCAUCAUCAGGUGGGACAGCCAUCGGUAGAGCAACAUGCCCCAUGUUAGAAAUCUGACUAGGGCUGUCAUCCCUGAACCACAGAGAGUGCACAUUGGCCAGAGUAGAGGGACUACAGUGGUUUCCUCCUUUAGGCACGUGUUCCUUAAUGACGCAGUCUGGAUAUGCCUGGAAUGCAGCCAGGGGAAGACAAGACUACAAAGUCAAUGCAUUCCCUUUCCAUCCCAUAAAUACUUUUCUCCCCGCCUGAGAACACAGUAGGAAUGGGGGGUAGAAGCUUAAUCUGACCCAGGAAAACUUGUCCAAACUCUCAUGUGCCCAAUUGUGUGGUACUUUAUCUAUGUUCUGUAUUGAGUGGGCUCGUGUGAUCUGAUGGGACCACAGCAACAUCCUUUAUACUAUCUCCUAUUAGAAAUGUGUUUCAAGGCCCAAGCAAUAACAAUGAAACACCACCCAUUUACACGCCAGAAAUGUCCUGAUCCACUGAAGGGUUACAGAUCACUCUGGAUUGCUAGAGAAUCUUAAAUUUACAUUCAGAUAACUUGGACUAACACCAGUAUUUAUUUCCUAAUAUAGAUCCAGGUUAGGAUGGUAAACUCAAUCAUGUUAAAGUCCCACUAAAUGCUAAGUUCUGCAUGGUAGAAAUAGUUCCAUUUCUGUAUCAUGUAUAAAUAUAAAGACUUCUACUCUGAUAGAAGGCAAAAAUCUCCUACGAUUUAUUAAAAUAUGGAAGUAGCAUUAUUGGACAACAGAGAGUAAAUCCAUGAAAAGGUUGGAUACUCUGAAUUUAUAGGCUCUUUGGGGAUGAGGUAGAGGACAGCAUGAUAUUUUGGCAGCCAGGAAAGAGUAGAACGGUAUGGGAUGGACAGGCUUAUGCUCAGUGCCGCAUAGUAUCUGGUAGGGUGUCCAGGGCAAAGGUUAGCCAAAAUGUAGCUGGAUGGUUGAGGGACUUAGGCGGGGCUGGGAUGAAGUCAUAUUCUUAAUGAGUGGAGGAAAAGUAACUCAGAAAAGAGAAUGCUGGUGACACUCAGCAGGUGGCUGGUGAUGUUUGGUUUGGAUUGUGAAAAGGCCUGCAGACCAAGACAGGCUGAGGGAAGUGGGGGACAGUGAGCAUGUAGAAGGUUGAGGCACUUGGGGGAAAGAAAGCAGGCAGGAGAGGGUGGAUUGAAUGCAGGUAGGAAUUCCCAGAGGGGAAUGUUCCUUUACAACAGGUGUACGAUGCUGAGGACUGCCACACUCAGUGUGAUGUUCCACGUGUUCUUUGAAAAACUUUUCACAGGGCUCUGCCUCUGCCUCUAGGAUCCAUUUAACCCCAGCUGUUUUUGUUCUAGGUCUCACCUGAGCGGACACUGCUAACUGAGCCCAAUUAGCAUGGAAAGAAGCUCCACACAUGGGGGGAUUUAAGUUCUGUUGACUGAGAGGAAUACAUUCAUGUUACAGUACUGUUCUGAGGAAAGACUCCGUAAUUUAAUUCUCAGUCUCCAGAGGGAUACAGUAGGGAAACACAGAUGAAGAUGAUGGCCACCAAGAAUAGAUUCUGGUGAGGACAAAUUAAGUAACUUUGCACUUGAUCUGAACUGAGGGGCCACCUGUCUUUCAGGGUGCUGUGGAAUUAUACUACCCAGAAAAUUUCAGAUACUGUUCAUAUAACAUUACUGUUGCAUACUUUUUACUCCAUGCAAGACCGCCUAUUUGCAUAAAAGAAGAAAAAGUCUGUUAGAUAAAGAGAAGAGUUUAAGGUCUUGCUUUCCAGAGGAAUGGUUUUGAAUUGUCUUCAAAACACAACACAAAACAAAAACCUCAUUUUACUGUCACAGUACAAAUCAUUUU
rnacentral:lncRNA from 1 species